rnacentral:rRNA from 1 species
UACGUAGGGUGCGAGCGUUGUCCGGAAUUACUGGGCGUAAAGAGUUCGUAGGCGGUUUGUCGCGUCGUUCGUGAAAACUUGGGGCUUAACUCUGGACUGGCUUUCGAUACGGGCAGACUAGAGGUAUGCAGGGGAGAACGGAAUUCCUGGUGUAGCGGUGAAAUGCGCAGAUAUCAGGAGGAACACCGGUGGCGAAGGCGGCUUCCUGGACACUUACUGACGCUGAGACGCGAAAGCGUGGGGAGCAAACAGG